rnacentral:rRNA from 1 species
UACAGGGGGGGCGAGCGUUGUUCGGAAUUACUGGGCGUAAAGGGCUCGUAGGCGGCCAACUAAGUCAGACGUGAAAUCCCCAGGCUCAACCUGGGAACUGCGUCUGAUACUGGUUGGCUUGAAUCCGGGAGAGGGAUGCAGAAUUCCAGGUGUAGCGGUGAAAUGCGUAGAUAUCUGGAGGAAUACCGGUGGCGAAGGCGGCAUCCUGGACCGGCAUUGACGCUGAGGAGCGAAAGCCAGGGGAGCAAACGGG